AGGUCCAGUGAGGACGAGGGUGAAAUUUAUAUCUCUGCCCAGGUCUCGGUGCCUGCACCGCCAUAGACACCACCAGGGCACUGGGGACGCUGGGUGCACUGGAGCCCGAGACCCCUCUUCCUGGCCAUGGCUGUCCUGGUCGCCAGUACUGUGGGCUGUGAUUCUGAGUAUCCUAUUGUCCAAGGGAGCCUCUCUCCGCAGCCUCCACGGAGCGCGCGGCGCUGCUCGGCUGCCAGGACCUGCUGAGGACAAACGGUGUGUGCAGAGCCGGGCGCCUGGGCGCCCGGGGCGUGUGCGGCGGGAGCGUCUGAGACCCCAGAGAUGGAGUCCUGGGCUCGGGGACGCAGGCGCUGCUGCAGACCACGAGCGCGGAGCUUGGGGAGGCGCAGGCGAAGCUGAUGGAGCAGGAGAGAGCCCUGCGGGAACUGCGUGAGCGCGUGACCCAUGGCUUGGCUGAAGCCGGCAGGGACCGCGAGGACGUCAGCACCGAGCUGUACCGGGCGCUGGAGGCCGUGAGGCUGCAGAACAGUGAGGGUUCCUGUGAGCCGUGCCCUACGUCGUGGCUGCCCUUCGGGGGCUCCUGCUACUAUUUCUCUGUGCCGAAGACCACGUGGGCAGAGGCGCAGGGCCACUGCGCCGAUGCCAGCGCACAUCUGGCGAUGUAGGGGGCCUGGGGGAGCAGGACUUCCUGAGUCGUGACACUAGUGCCCGUGAAUACUGGAUCGGCCGCAGGGCCGUGCAACACCUGCGCAAGGUUCAGGGCUACUCGUGGGUGGACUGAGUCCCACUCAGCUUCAGGUAGGGGAAGGGCUCCUGGUGAAACCUGGGGGCCACAGGUUAGACUCUAGAGGACAUGUUUUGAGGCCGAGGUGGGCGGAUCACCUGAGGUCAGGAGUUCAAGACCAGCAUGGGAAACGUGGCGAAACCCCAUCUCUACUAAAAAUACAAAAAAUUAGCCGGGCGUGGUGGCACACGCCUGUAAUCCCAGCUAACCCUGGAUGCUGAGGCACGAGAAUCACUUGAACCCAGGAGGCAGAGGUUGCAGUGAGCCGAGAUUGCGCCACUGCACUCCAGCCUGGGAGACAGAGUUAGACUCCGUCUCAAAAAAAAAAAAAAAAAAAAAAAAAAAAAAAAAAAAAAAAAAAAAAAGUCAUGCUUUGGCCAGAUCUCAGGGACCCCUUGGCUGGGGCUCCAUGCUUAGGGAUGGGCAGGCUGGACCCUAGGAAGUGUCCUUGGGUUAAAUUCUGGGCGUUAGUAAGUUAUAUCCCAGGUGUAUACUCAGGUUAGACACUUGGGGUGUCUAGCGUAGACCCAGGCAAUAAACAGGCUAGAGCCUGGGAAGGAAGUGGGGGCCCCGGGUCCAUCCCUAGCUUAGAUUCCCAGCAUCACCCCCCGCCCGGCCAUUCAACCACUGCAGCCACUGGUUACAGGGGGAACGCAAUGAAUUUUGGGGGUGCGAGGCCUGUGUCAUGAUUCUGGGCAUGGGGCUGUGGAUAGACCCACCACGUGAUGAGAAGGCUGGCCGGAUCUGUCAGCAGAGGCACGGUGCUGACCCCGCCCGGUGCCCCAGAGCCGUGCCCAGUGCCCAAAGGGGUGCUGUGCACCAUCCCGGCUACUGGAACCCACUGCCAAGGAUUUUCUUUUCCCCAUCCACCACUGCUGAGAACCAAUCGGCCAGGCCCAGCCCUGUCCGGUGCCUGCACUCUGGGACCUCUGCUCUGACUUCAUGCAAACCUAACCUAACCUUCACUGGCUCCAAAAUCUCCAUUUCUGGAUCCCAGUGGUCUGACCCCACCUCUCCUCCUAGCCAAGGUCAGGCAACUGAGGAAUGGAGCUAUUUGGUUUUCCUGCACUUUCCCGCAAAGGGGAAAAUGGUACUUCCUGCAAAGCUCUCUUUGCAGCCUGGGGGAGCAUCAAUAAAGGUUUGAGAAAUGG